GGGGGUGGGCGGGGCUGGGAAAUGGCGGGCGUGGCCCGGAGCGCAGGUGUAAUCAUCCCCCACCCUCCCG
rnacentral:lncRNA from 1 species